ACAGCAGUAGCCGCGGGAAUACGUAGGUGGCAAGCGUUGUCCGGAAUUAUUGGGCGUAAAGGGCUCGCAGGCGGUUUCUUAAGUCUGAUGUGAAAGCCCCCGGCUCAACCGGGGAGGGUCAUUGGAAACUGGGAAACUUGAGUGCAGAAGAGGAGAGUGGAAUUCCACGUGUAGCGGUGAAAUGCGUAGAGAUGUGGAGGAACACCAGUGGCGAAGGCGACUCUCUGGUCUGUAACUGACGCUGAGGAGCGAAAGCGUGGGGAGCGAACAGGAUUAGAUACCCGAGUAGUCCCUGUCUCUUAUAC
rnacentral:rRNA from 1 species